rnacentral:rRNA from 1 species
UGGGGAAUAUUGGACAAUGGGGGAAACCCUGAUCCAGCCAUGCCGCGUGAGUGAUGAAGGCCCUAGGGUUGUAAAGCUCUUUCGGCGGGGAAGAUGAUGACGGUACCCGCAGAAGAAGCCCCGGCUAACUCCGUGCCAGCAGCCGCGGUAAUACGGAGGGGGCUAGCGUUGUUCGGAAUUACUGGGCGUAAAGGGCGCGUAGGCGGCCUGGCAAGUUAGGGGUGAAAGGCCCGGGCUCAACCUGGGAACGGCCUCUAAAACUGCCGGGCUGGAGUCCGGGAGAGGGUGACGGAAUUCCCAGUGUAGAGGUGAAAUUCGUAGAUAUUGGGAAGAACACCGGUGGCGAAGGCGGUCACCUGGCCCGGGACUGACGCUGAGGCGCGAAAGCGUGGGGAGCAAACAGGAUUAGAUACCCCCGUAGUCC